AGGACUGUUAAUAUACACACACA
rnacentral:piRNA from 1 species